rnacentral:rRNA from 1 species
GACGAACGCUGGCGGCGUGCCUAAUACAUGCAAGUUGAGCGCUGAAGGUUGGUACUUGUACCAACUGGAUGAGCAGCGAACGGGUGAGUAACGCGUGGGGAAUCUGCCUUUGAGCGGGGGACAACAUUUGGAAACGAAUGCUAAUACCGCAUAAAAACUUUAAACACAAGUUUUAAGUUUGAAAGAUGCAAUUGCAUCACUCAAAGAUGAUCCCGCGUUGUAUUAGCUAGUUGGUGAGGUAAAGGCUCACCAAGGCGAUGAUACAUAGCCGACCUGAGAGGGUGAUCGGCCACAUUGGGACUGAGACAAGGCCCAAACGCCUACGGGAGGCAGCAGUAGGGAAUCUUCGGCAAUGGACGAAAGUCUGACCGAGCAACGCCGCGUGAGUGAAGAAGGGUUUCGGAUCGUAAAACUCUGUUGGUAGAGAAGAACGUUGGUGAGAGUGGAAAGCUCAUCAAGUGACGGUAACUACCCAGAAAGGGACGGCUAACUACGUG